GCAGUGACUCUGACAUUUGGAAAAGCCUUUUUUGUUCCCCCUAUGGAUGGAGAAGGGCAGUCUGAGCCUUCCUGAGCCUGGGCUUUGGAACACGAAGCUGGUGAUUUUAAUUACCAGCAGAGAGAAGAAAAGAGAGGGAUUUUUUUACAGCUGGGAUUAGGAGCAACCCAAGGAGCUGCCAUCCUGCUCCACCCUUGCUGGCCCUGCUCCAUGUGCUCUGUGUCUGUUUUGUGUUGGUCACCACUGGAACUCCUUGACACAAGGUCUGGUUGCUGAACUAUCCAGAAAUAAAGAGUUAAAUAACAUCUAUGA